GGAUAACUUCGGGAAACCGGAGCUAAUACCGGAUAAUAUUUUGAACCGCAUGGUUCAAAAGUGAAAGACGGUCUUGCUGUCACUUAUAGAUGGAUCCGCGCUGCAUUAGCUAGUUGGUAAGGUAACGGCUUACCAAGGCAACGAUGCAUAGCCGACCUGAGAGGGUGAUCGGCCACACUGGAACUGAGACACGGUCCAGACUCCUACGGGAGGCAGCAGUAGGGAAUCUUCCGCAAUGGGCGAAAGCCUGACGGAGCAACGCCGCGUGAGUGAUGAAGGUCUUCGGAUCGUAAAACUCUGUUAUUAGGGAAGAACAUAUGUGUAAGUAACUGUGCACAUCUUGACGGUACCUAAUCAGAAAGCCACGGCUAACUACGUGCCAGCAGCCGCGGUAAUACGUAGGUGGCAAGCGUUAUCCGG
rnacentral:rRNA from 1 species